AUUGAACGCUGGCGGCAUGCCUUACACAUGCAAGUCGAACGGCAGCGGGGGAGAAGCUUGCUUUUCCUGCCGGCGAGUGGCGAACGGGUGAGUAAUACAUCGGAACGUGCCCUGUAGUGGGGGAUAACUAGUCGAAAGAUUAGCUAAUACCGCAUACGACCUGAGGGUGAAAGUGGGGGACCGCAAGGCCUCAUGCUAUAGGAGCGGCCGAUGUCGGAUUAGCUAGUUGGUGGGGUAAAGGCCUACCAAGGCGACGAUCAGUAGCUGGUCUGAGAGGCCGAUGAGCCACACUGGGAAUAAGGCACGGCCCAGAUUCCUACGGGAGGCAGCAGUGGGGAAUGUUGGACAAUGGGCGGAAGCCUGAUCCUGCAAUACCGCGUGUGUGAAGGAGGCCUUCGAGUUGUAAAGCACUUUUGUCCGGAAAGAAAUGACUCUGGUUAAUACCUGGGGUCGAUGACGGUACCGGAAGAAUAAGGACCGGCUAACUACGUGCCAGCAGCCGCCGUAA
rnacentral:rRNA from 1 species